GCUUACGGCCAUACCAGCCUGGGUACGCCCGAUCUCGUCUGAUCUCGGAAGCUAAGCAGGGUCUGGCCUGGUUAGUACUUGGCUGGGAGACCACCUGGGAAUACCAGGUGCUGUAAGCA
rnacentral:rRNA from 1 species